rnacentral:lncRNA from 1 species
CAUAGCCUAUUGCUCCUAGAUAACCAACCUGUACAGCAUGUUACUAUACUGAAUACUGUAGGGAGUUGUAACACAACAGUAUUUGUGUAUCUCAAUGUAUAUAAACACAGAAAAGGAACAGUAAGAGGACCAGGCGAUGGGUAUUUUUCAACUCUGCUGUAUCUUAUGGGGUUUGUGUGCAGCUUGUUGUUGCAGAGAUCUGGUUGUGCAUUGUAUGACUCUAUGAUGCAGAGGUGGUGUCAGGGUAGGAAUAGCAUCGUGACAGGCCCCCAGCCCAGAGAUGUGUACACAGAUUCAUAGACUAUUGGUGUGCGCACACAGCAUACUUUAUCAUUCUUCUUGUUUCUUUGCUUCUCUACCUCUCUUGUCUCCCUUUGUAUUUUUUCAGAGUGUGUGUGCUGUAUGUGUGUGUGUGUGUGUGUGUGUGUGUGUGGCCUGUGGUGGUCAUUAGCCUGCUCCCAUGCUUGCAGUGGGGGUGGCCAGCCCCCUGGUGAGCUCCCACCAUGGCCCUCAGCAUAUAUGAAGGCCCAGAUUGCUUGGGCCUCUCUGUUCACACAGGCUCCUCCCUGAUGGCUCUACUCAAGCUGUUGCUGCCAGUACCUUUCAGCUGUGAUGCUAACCAGCCUCCUGCCUCCUGCCUCCUGGGUGCUGAUUCAAUUAGCCAAGGUGCCCACCUCCUGCAAGCGCCAUUUAUAAAAUCAACCAGGCCAGCUGGAGACCUCAGACAGGGCGGGGCUGGGAAGCAAAAGGAGGGGUCAGUAGCUGGGAGGAGGAGGUAGAGGAAUGAGGGGACCUGGUAGGGGGUGUCUGAUCCGAUUAGGCAUGAGGCUGGCUUCCCCCUGGCAGGUGGCUGUACAUCACUGCCUGACUCUGGCCCUCAUGGAGCGGAGCCCAUCAAUCUCUGGGCUCUGGCCAGGCUGCUCUCUUCCUUGCCUCCUCCCGCCCCAGGAACCCUCUUCUUCAUGACACUAGCUUCUGCAUCUCUGGGCUAGAGGUGGCUGAUGGGGGCAAAAUAGGUGUGGAGGGGAGAGCAUCACGUUCUGACAGAUUUGUG